rnacentral:misc_RNA from 1 species
GAUGAAGAACGUAGCGAAAUGCGAUAAGUAAUGUGAAUUGCAGAAUUCAGUGAAUCAUCGAAUCUUUGAACGCACAUUGCGCCCCCUGGUAUUCCGGGGGGCAUGCCUGUUCGAGCGUCAUUUCACCACUCAAGCCUCGCUUGGUAUUGGGCAACGCGGUCCGCCGCGUGCCUCAAAUCGACCGGCUGGGUCUUCUGUCCCCUAAGCGUUGUGGAAACUAUUCGCUAAAGGGUGCUCGGGAGGCUACGCCGUAAAACAAACCCAUUUCUAAGGUUGACCUCGGAUCAGGUAGGGAUACCCGCUGAACUUAAGCAUACCAAUAAGCGGAGGA